CGUGUAGGCUGCUCGGAAAGUCGGAUGUGAAAGCCCUGGGCUUAACCUAGGAAGUGCAUUCGAAACUCCCGAGCUUGAGUUCUGGAGAGGAAGGCGGAAUUCUCGGUGCAGAGGUGAAAUUCGUAGAUAUCGAGAGGAACACCGGUGGCGAAGGCGGCCUUCUGGACAGUGACUGACGCUGAGACGCGAAAGCGUGGGGAGCAAACA
rnacentral:rRNA from 1 species